CAGCCGCCACGGUAAUACGAAGGGUGCAAGCGUUACUCGGAAUUACUGGGCGUAAAGCGUGCGUAGGUGGUGGUUUAAGUCCGUUGUGAAAGCCCUGGGCUCAACCUGGGAAUUGCAGUGGAUACUGGAUCACUAGAGUGUGGUAGAGGAUAGUGGAAUUUCCGGUGUAGCAGUGAAAUGCGUAGAGAUCGGAAGGAACAUCUGUGGCGAAGGCGACUAUCUGGGCCAACACUGACACUGAGGCACGAAAGCGUGGGGAGCAAACAGGAUUAGAUACCCGAGUAGUCCCUGUCUCUUAUAC
rnacentral:rRNA from 1 species